rfam:Bacillus badius strain MTCC 1458 Contig9, whole genome shotgun sequence.
AUGACGAUUGUGGGAGAGUGCGCACCGUGCGCCACCGAAGGAGCAAGUUCCAAAAAACACCCUUGGAAUUAAUCUCUCAGGUAGAAGAACCACAAUGGGACG